rnacentral:rRNA from 1 species
UACGUAGGAGGCAAGCGUUGUCCGGAAUUACUGGGCGUAAAGCGCACGCAGGCGGUCUGUCAAGUCGGAUGUGAAAUCCCCGGGCUCAACCUGGGAACUGCAUUCGAAACUGGCAGGCUAGAGUCUUGUAGAGGGGGGUAGAAUUCCAGGUGUAGCGGUGAAAUGCGUAGAGAUCUGGAGGAAUACCGGUGGCGAAGGCGGCCCCCUGGACAAAGACUGACGCUCAGGUGCGAAAGCGUGGGGAGCAAACAGG